AUCUCAUGUAGAUGACGUCACACC
rnacentral:miRNA from 1 species